rnacentral:rRNA from 1 species
AGUUUGAUUCUGGCUCAGGAUGAACGCUGGCGGCGUGCCUAACACAUGCAAGUCGAACGGAGAACUUAAGUGGAAGUUUUCGGAUGGAAACUUUUGUUCUUAGUGGCGGACGGGUGAGUAACGCGUGGGCAACCUGCCUCAUACAGGGGGACAACAGACGGAAACGUCUGCUAAGACCGCAUACGUCUUUUUGGUCGCAUGACUGAGAAGGGAAAAGAGCAAUCUGGUAUGAGAUGGGCCCGCGUCUGAUUAGCUAGUUGGUAAGGUAACGGCUUACCAAGGCAACGAUCAGUAGCCGGACUGAGAGGUCGGACGGCCACAUUGGGACUGAGACACGGCCCAAACUCCUACGGGAGGCAGCAGUGGGGGAUAUUGCACAAUGGAGGAAACUCUGAUGCAGCGACGCCGCGUGAGUGAAGAAGUAUUUCGGUAUGUAAAGCUCUAUCAGCAGGGAAGAUGA